rnacentral:rRNA from 1 species
UACGGAGGGUGCGAGCGUUGUCCGGAAUCAUUGGGCGUAAAGGGCGCGUAGGUGGCCCGGUCAGUUCGUGGUGAAAGCGCGGGGCUCAACCCUGCGUCGGCCAUGAAUACUGCCGCGGCUGGAGCACUGUAGAGGCAGGCGGAAUUCCGGGUGUAGCGGUGGAAUGCGUAGAGAUCCGGAGGAACGCCAGUGGCGAAGGCGACACGCUGGGCCGUACCUGACACUGAUGCGCGACAGCAUGGGGAGCAAACAGG